AUCGCGCCAUCGGCCCCUCUGGCCAACACCAGUAGGCGAGCCACAACAGGACCCACAAGAACAUGGGAACAAGUAAAAGUGGAAUACAGGAGUAUUCUACAGAAUGCAACCAAGAAAAGGGCAGAGGAAAAAAAGACAGGUGGUGGUCCUGCACCCCCUCGUCAACAAGUUGGUUAAGUAAAUAAUACCCUCACGGGAAAAUCGAUAUCUCUCUAUGAGCACACUGUCGCGCUGAGCUAAAGGAUCCUGUCUAUCCCGCAAUAUACGCUGAAUUCUGAGGACUCUCCUUAUCAAUCUUGCACCUUCCGCAAUGGGUGGCUCGCGUAUACGGACAGGACAUGGCUGCGACAGGCUUCCCAAAUCCACCUUCGCUUUUAUAGCCGUGGUCUCUCAUCUUGAUUACACGACGUAAUUUACAAUUACUACUCUGAAAUAUGAAUUACAUCUGUAAUAAUCACA
ensembl:lncRNA